rnacentral:rRNA from 1 species
GCACAAGCGGUGGAGCAUGUGGUUUAAUUCGAAGCAACGCGAAGAACCUUACCAAAUCUUGACAUCCUCUGACCCCUCUAGAGAUAGAGUUUUCCCCCUUCGGGGGACAGAGUGACAGGUGGUGCAUGGUUGUCGUCAGCUCGUGUCGUGAGAUGUUGGGUUAAGUCCCGCAACGAGCGCAACCCUUAAGCUUAGUUGCCAUCAUUAAGUUGGGCACUCUAAGUUGACUGCCGGUGACAAACCGGAGGAAGGUGGGGAUGACGUCAAAUCAUCAUGCCCCUUAUGAUUUGGGCUACACACGUGCUACAAUGGACAAUACAAAGGGCAGCGAAACCGCGAGGUCAAGCAAAUCCCAUAAAGUUGUUCUCAGUUCGGAUUGUAGUCUGCAACUCGACUAUAUGAAGCUGGAAUCGCUAGUAAUCGUAGAUCAGCAUGCUACGGUGAAUACGUUCCCGGGC